rnacentral:rRNA from 1 species
GACGAACGCUGGCGGCGUGCUUAACACAUGCAAGUCGAACGGAAAGACCCUGCUUUUGUGGGGUGCUCGAGUGGCGAACGGGUGAGUAACACGUGAGUAACCUGCCCUUGACUUUGGGAUAACUUCAGGAAACUGGGGCUAAUACCGGAUAGGAGCUCCUGCUGCAUGGUGGGGGUUGGAAAGUUUCGGCGGUUGGGGAUGGACUCGCGGCUUAUCAGCUUGUUGGUGGGGUAGUGGCUUACCAAGGCUUUGACGGGUAGCCGGCCUGAGAGGGUGACCGGCCACAUUGGGACUGAGAUACGGCCCAGACUCCUACGGGAGGCAGCAGUGGGGAAUAUUGCACAAUGGGCGGAAGCCUGAUGCAGCAACGCCGCGUGCGGGAUGACGGCCUUCGGGUUGUAAACCGCUUUCGCCUGUGACGAAGCGUGAGCGACGGUAAUGGGUAAAGAAGCACCGGCUAACUACGUG